GCCCAAGUGGUGGAAUUGGUAGACACGCUAGCUUGAGGGGCUAGUGGGGGCGACCCCGUGUCGGUUCGAGUCCGGCCUUGGGCACCA
rnacentral:tRNA from 2 species